CAAUACGAGUUAUGUAGUAUUAUCGAGACGUAAAUACAUAGCGUAUCGAAGGUAGACGCGGAGAACUGAAACAUCUUAGGACCCGCAGGAAGAGAAAGAAAAAGCGAUUCCCUGAGUAGCGGCGAGCGAAACGGGAAUAGCCCAAACCAACGAGCUUGCUUGUUGGGGUUGUAGGACACUCUAUACGGAGUUACAAAGGAAUAGAUUAGACGAA
rnacentral:rRNA from 1 species